CUGUCGAACCAUGUUAGCCGGUGGGGUUUCAGACAUGUGACAAAGAGUAAGUUUGCCCAAUAAAGGGGAUGAGUUCCAAGUUGGGAGCUCCAUCCUAAAGGCAGGGCAAAACAUU
rnacentral:snoRNA from 1 species